UCUGAGGAAGGAUGUUGAAGCUUUGGAGAGGGUGCAGAGGAGGUUUACGAGAAUGAUCCCAGUGAUGAGCAGGUUAACCUCUGAUGAGCGUUUGUAGGAACUGGGCCUGUAUUUGCUGGAGUUUAGAAGGAUGACGGGGAACCUCAUUGAAACUUACCGAAUAGAGAAAGGUCUGGAUAGUGGAUAUGGAGAUGACGUUUCCACUAGUGAGAGAAUCUAGGACCAGAUGCCAUAGCCUCAGAAUAAAAGGACAUACCUUUAGAAAGGAGAUGAGGAGAA